rnacentral:snRNA from 1 species
AUACUUACCUGGCAGGGGAGAUACCAUGAUCAAGAAGCUGGUUUUCCCAGGGUGAGGCUUAUCCAUUGCACUCCAGAUGUGCUGAACCCUGCUAUUUCCCCAAAUGUGGGAAACUCGACUGCAUAAUUUGUGGUAGUGGGGGGACUGCAUUUGUGCUCUCCCCUG